rnacentral:rRNA from 1 species
GGUCCCGCCUGCCCAGUGACUAACCACUUAAACGGCCGCGGUAUCCUAACCGUGCAAAGGUAGCGUAAUCACUUGUCCCCUAAAUAGGGACUAGUAUGAACGGCUAAAUGAGGGCCCAACUGUCUCCUUUAAUUAAUCAGUGAAAUUGAUCUACCAGUACAAAAGCUGGUAUACACCCAUAAGACGAGAAGACCCUGUGGAGCUUAAAAUACUUAAGUCAAAACAACACUGCCAAAAAUGACAUAACAUUUUCAGUUGGGGCGACUACGGAAACAAGCCAAACUUCCAAGCCAAGGGCCAACCCGCCCUACCACAGACAAACAUGUCAAACUAACACCUGACCCAGAACCACUCUGAAUAACGAACCAAGUUACCCCAGGGAUAACAGCGCUAUCUUCUUCAAGAGUCCCCAUCGACAAGAAGGUUUACGACCUCGAUGUUGGAUCAGGACACCCAAAUGGUGCAGCCGCUAUAAAGG